GAGGGCCGGUAGGAAAAGUUCCAGGGGAUUAUUCAGAUGAGGUUAAGGAUUUUCGGUUUUAAAAAUAGAUUUAAAUAAAUUGCCACACCAUUUAAUUCACUCAAAAUUGUAGAAGUACCCAAAAAUAGUGAAAUAAAUUUUUCUAGGUUUGUUUUAAUCUCCUUUAUACAUUAAAAUUGUUAAAACUUAAUUACAUAUAGAAAAAUUUUGGGUGUUUAUUUAGUGCCUUUAAUUAAAGGUAUUAAAUAAAUACUUAAUAAUUCCAAAAUACAUAAAAUAUGAAAUAUUGCUUUUCUAAUUAAAAAUUAACCAUAA
rnacentral:lncRNA from 1 species